rnacentral:rRNA from 1 species
UUGCGAAGGCAGCUUUCUGGAUCAUUACUGACACUGAGGAACGAAAGCAUGGGUAGCGAAGAGGAUUAGAUACCCUCGUAGUCCAUGCCGUAAACGAUGUGUGUUAGACGUUGGAAAUUUAUUUUCAGUGUCGCAGCGAAAGCGAUAAACACACCGCCUGGGGAGUACGACCGCAAGGUUAAAACUCAAAUGAAUUGACGGGGACCCGCACAAGUAGUGGAGCAUGUGGUUUAAUUCGAAGAUACGCGCAGAACCUUACCAACACUUGACAUGUUCGUCGCGACUUUAAGAGAUUAAAGUUUUCGGUUCGGCCGGACGAAACACAGGUGCUGCAUGGCUGUCGUCAGCUCGUGUCGUGAGAUGUUGGGUUAAGUCCCGCAACGAGCGCAACCCUCACUUUUAGUUGCCAUCAUUAAGUUGGGCACUCUGAAAGAACUGCCAGUGAUAAGCUGGAGGAAGGUGGGGAUGACGUCAAGUCCUCAUGGCCCUUACGUGUUGGGCUACACACGUGCUACAAUGGUAUUUACAAAAGGAAGCAAAACGGCGACGUUUAGCAAAUCCUAAAAAAAUACCUCAGUUCGGAUUGCACUCUGCAACUCGAGUGCAUGAAGCUGGAAUUACUAGUAAUCGUGGAUCAGCGUGCCACGGUGAAUGCGUUCCCGGGUCUUGUACACACCGCCCGUCACACCAUGGGAGUUGGUUCUACCUUAAGGCAAGGUUUCAAACCCUUGACCACGGUAUAGUCAGCGACUGGGGUGAAGUCGUAACAAGGUAGCCGUA